UUCUUUUAAAGCUUUUUAGUGUAAAGCUUUUGGAGUAAUUGUUUAGAAUAGGGUUUUACUGGUCAAACUGUAUUUUGGCUGGGCUUUGACUAAGAAAAGAAUUUGAUAUUAAGUAAAACGGCAAGGGAGCAGUGGAAUAAUAUACAAAUGAUUGAAUCUUUUGAAAGGCUCUAUGUUUUUGCUUGUUAUAAAGUUACUUAUACAGUGUGUAUGUGUUCCCAUACAGAAUGACUGUGAGGAAAAUGAUUGGGGAUGACAGCUAUUAAAACUGAAAUAAUAAAUGUUUGUUGUUUAGUAACGAGAGAUUAAGUAUAGUCGAACAGGAGUUUUUGGCGUGUGUAACACAUGCAUGUCCUUUCCCCCCUCCAAGAUGAAUGCUUGGUUCAUGACCUGCUUUGCAGCUUUUCUGUUGCCUGUGUCAUACGGCGCACCGAUAUCUGUGGCUUGGUGUGAUCACAUGCCAUCGUGUAGUGAUUGUUGCUUGGCCCAUAAUUGCAGAAAAAGACUGUAAUGGAACUUAACAGUCUCCAAUAGACAUCAUAACCACCAAUGUGCAGGCUAAUACCUACUAAUCUGACCUCUUUCACCUUCACUGGCUAUGAUGACAACACAACCUUGACUGAGAUUAAAAACACUGGCAGGACAACGGCACAUAGUGAAUGAGGUCGUACAUAAUGGUUCAACUAUACUGGCUGCUCUUGGUUUCUUCAUUGAGGCCACUUAUGACACUGGCAAACCAGAGAGCUGGAAGACCUUAACUUCGCCAAUGCAGGUGAUAAAGCAUGCAUCACUGAAUAUAUCUCUAUGGAUGAUCUGCUUCCUGGAUUGGACCGGACUAAAUAUUCCCCUUAUCUUGGCUCUUUAACCACACCAAACUGCAAUGAAGGUGUGAUUUAGACCAUCUUUAAAGACCCCAAAGUCAGUUGGGAUUUAGUAAGUUGACUUGUCAAAAGGCUGAUUUUGCAGAGUCUGUCACUGCUGAAGUACUACUACUGAAGAAUUCCAGUAUCUUUAGUUUAAUUGUUUCAAACCAUUUUUAAAAUUUCGAUUAGAUUGACCUGUUCAGUACAAGCAUUUACAUCAAGGCAACCAGCUCUCUCCUAAUGGUGGACACGUUCAAGGGUGUUCAGCCGGUCAGUGGCAGGAUCGUGACGUCACAGGUGGCUGGUACCAGAGCUACUGGUCCUGUUUCCCAAACCGCAUAUAAUUUGGAUGUUCUAGACCUCUCUUCUGAUUGUCAAACCCCUGAACCUUACACAGAGUUUGAUUUCGAAAUUCCAUACUGGUAGAAUACGAGUGGGAGGACUGAUUGUUAUGAAACAAGUUAAAUGUCGUUUUUUUUAAACUGUAUAUUUAACAGCUUGUGAGAAGUAACUUCAAUUAUACUUGUUCCAGAUAUUUGUUAGGUAACACCCCAUGCAAAUCUUUAAUGAAAAGUGAAUUUUAAUGGUAUCCUGCUAGUUAAUGUAUGCUUCAAUAUUAAUUGCAUUCCAACAAUAAGUUACUACUGUAUAGACCUUAAGCUCUGUAGUUACUGUUUCAUGGGUGUGUGUAAACUACUUUUGGUGGUGGUGUUUUUGAAAUCCAUGUUUAUGCAGUUGUUUUUGUUUGUUUUAAGUCUAGAUUUUACUCCACGUUUGGCAUCUUUAAGACCGUUAUAAGUUUUGCACUUCAGAACAAAACAAAGCUUUUAGAUUUGUACUGCAGCUAAAGGUAUUAAGUCCCCAUCAUUUACUUCUAUUUUUUUUUCAGUCAAAGGUUCUUUAAAGAACCAUCUCUUCCUUAACUUUAUACAAUCUGAAGAAGCUUCUUUCACCAUAAAGAAACUUUUGUGAAACCGAAAGGUUCUUCAGAUAUUAAAGGUUCUUUAUGAAACCAUUUAGACAAAAAUGUUCUCCUAUGGCAUCGUGAAGCACCUUUAUUUUUAAGAGUGUAAGUGUAAAUAGGAGCUAAAGCUGAAUUGAAAUCUUGUUAGCUUGUAAAUCUCGCAAUGAUUUAGCAGAUGUAGUUUUGACUGUCAAUCAGUAGCACUAGUAGCGUGUGUGUGGGGUCUUUUCUCUUUUUUUUUUUUUUUUUUCCUCCCCACCCCCCUCAUGCAGAAAUCACAGCUCUGGAGUAUCACUUUGGUUUAGCAUUAAUAUGUAGAGUAUAUGCACAAGGGGUUUGGUUUUCUUUGUGGUAGUCUUAAUGUCUUUUCACCAAAGUGUAACUGUUUGUUUUGUCAAAACACUUGUGCUUUGGUUCAUACUUGAUUUAACUAAUUCAUAAACAGUUGGUAUCUUAGCCAUUAUUUUAAAUGUAUACACAAAAUAAAUAAAGGCUUAACAUAUUCUUAGUCAAGGUAGCAAGUUAUUCAUCUCAAGUUAAAUGCCCCCUUUAUCUCUUCAUGCUGUGAAAUAACAUUUAAAUGCUUAAGGUUUGUGCAUUUGAACUGUCUUAACUUCCAGUUUUCAAGUUCUGGGCUUUUAUUUUAUUUUUCUGUGAAUUUGCAGCAUUAACUUUGUGCUCAAGGUCUACUUUCAGUGUAGCAAAACAAGUUGUAAAUGACUCAGCUUUUCAUGCUUUCAGUAAGACGGAGUAUUUAUAGACAGUUUCUAGAGGUGUUUUGUAUCCAAGAACACUUUGUUGUACUUAAUGAGACACUUGAACACACUGUCCUUUAGUAUAAAUUAGGGAUGUCCCGAUCAGGUUUUUUUGCCCUUGAGUCAGAGUCAUUUGAUUUUGAGUAUCUACCGAUACCGAGUCCCGAUCCGAUACUUCUAUAAUACAUAAAAAAAGAAUAAAGAUGAGCGAAGAAACAGAUCCAGGAUGUU